rnacentral:rRNA from 1 species
AUUGAACGCUGGCGGCAGGCCUAACACAUGCCAGUCGAGCGGAUGAAGGGAGCUUGCUCCUGGAUUCAGCGGCGGACGGGUGAGUAAUGCCUAGGAAUCUGCCUGGUAGUGGGGGAUAACGUCCGGAAACGGGCGCUAAUACCGCAUACGUCCUGAGGGAGAAAGUGGGGGAUCUUCGGACCUCACGCUAUCAGAUGAGCCUAGGUCGGAUUAGCUAGUUGGUGGGGUAAAGGCCUACCAAGGCGACGAUCCGUAACUGGUCUGAGAGGAUGAUCAGUCACACUGGAACUGAGACACGGUCCAGACUCCUACGGGAGGCAGCAGUGGGGAAUAUUGGACAAUGGGCGAAAGCCUGAUCCAGCCAUGCCGCGUGUGUGAAGAAGGUCUUCCGAUUGUAAAGCACUUUAAGUUGGGAGGAAGGGCAGUAAGUUAAUACCUUGCUGUUUUGACGUUACCAACAGAAUAAGCACCGGCUAACUUCGUG